rnacentral:misc_RNA from 1 species
GGAAAGCCUUGUCUGUAUGAUUUUUUCAUAUGUAAGAUUUUCUUCUUGUUAUAGGCAAACUACAUAGCUUAAACCGUGCCUGCUGAGGCUGUAGAAGGUACAAGUGGAGCAGCUUAAACCUAGGGAGCAAGUCACCCUCGAACCUAAUGAAAGAGACCAUGCUUGUGUUGUAGAUGCCUAUCGAUCAGGUGCCCAAGAAGCAAAAGGUUGCUGCCUAGUUGCUAGUUUUCUUAUUGAUGUGGUCAGGUUUUCUAGUGAGGAGGUUACUUAUGUUUUAUUUAAAGCAUUACCAAUGUUACUGUGAUUUGACAGAAGGUCUUAAUUUUUUCUUGUUAAAGUAUUUUCAUGUUACAGUGAUUUGAUCUGUGUCUCAAUGUUUGACGAAAGAUGAUAAUACUGAUGGUGGUUGGUUGG